UACGUAGGGGGCAAGCGUUGUCCGGAAUCAUUGGGCGUAAAGCGCGUGUAGGCGGCUCGAUAAGUCUGCUGUGAAAGUCCAGGGCUCAACCCUGGGAUGCCGGUGGAUACUGUCGAGCUCGAGUCCGGAAGAGGAGUGUGGAAUUCCUGGUGUAGCGGUGAAAUGCGCAGAUAUCAGGAGGAACACCAAUGGCGAAGGCAGCACUCUGGAACGUGACUGACGCUGAGACGCGAAAGCGUGGGGAGCAAACAGG
rnacentral:rRNA from 1 species